GACGAACGCUGGCGGCGUGCUUAACACAUGCAAGUCGAACGGUGAAGGGAUCAGCUUGCUGGUUCUGGAUGAGUGGCGAACGGGUGAGUAACACGUGAGUAACCUGCCCCCUUCUUCUGGAUAACCGCAUGAAAGUGUGGCUAAUACGGGAUAUUCUGCGCCUGCUGCAUGGUGGGUGUGGAAAGAUAUUGUUUCGGUGGGGGAUGGGCUCGCGGCCUAUCAGCUUGUUGGUGGGGUGAUGGCCUACCAAGGCGGUGACGGGUAGCCGGCCUGAGAGGGUGGACGGUCACACUGGGACUGAGACACGGCCCAGACUCCUACGGGAGGCAGCAGUGGGGAAUAUUGCACAAUGGGCGCAAGCCUGAUGCAGCGACGCCGCGUGAGGGAUGGAGGCCUUCGGGUUGUGAACCUCUUUCGCCAGUGAAGCAGGCCUGUCCCUUGUGGGUGGGUUGACGGUAGCUGGAUAAGAAGCGCCGGCUAACUACGUG
rnacentral:rRNA from 1 species